rnacentral:tRNA from 1 species
AGCAGCAUGGCUGAGUGGAUAAAGCACGGGGCUGGGAAUCAGAAGGUCCUGGGUUCUAAUCCCAGCUCUGCCA